UACAGAGGUCUCAAGCGUUGUUCGGAUUCAUUGGGCGUAAAGGGUGCGUAGGUGGCGCCGUAAGUCGGGUGUGAAAUUUCGGAGCUUAACUCCGAAACUGCAUUCGAUACUGCGGUGCUUGAGGACUGGAGAGGAGACUGGAAUUCAUGGUGUAGCAGUGAAAUGCGUAGAUAUCGGAAGGAACAUCAGUGGCGAAAGCGACUUCCUGGACCAAUACUGACGCUCAUGUGCGAAAGCGUGGGGAGCAAACAGG
rnacentral:rRNA from 1 species